GCCCAGCCGUAAACUUUUAUUUACAUCCAAAUCGCCCGGGAACUACGAGCUAAGCUUAAAACCCAAAGGACUUGACGGUACCCCAUAUCCCCCUAGAGGAGCCUGUCCUAUAAUCGAUAAUCCACGUUUAACCUCACCACUUCUAGUUAAUCAGCCUGUAUACCUCCGUCGUCAGCUUACCACGUGAGCGUAAAUUAGUGAGCCCAAUGUUAUUUCACCAACACGUCAGGUCAAGGUGCAGCAAAUGAAGUGGGAAGAGAUGGGCUACACUUUCUAUUUUAGAAGAAACGAAAAACUACUUAUGAAACCUAGUUAGAAGGCGGAUUUAGCAGUAAAAAGAAAUCAGCAUGUUCAUUUUAACCCGGCACUGGGGUGUGU
rnacentral:rRNA from 1 species